rnacentral:rRNA from 1 species
UACGGGGGGGGUAAGCGUUGUUCGGAAUUACUGGGCGUAAAGGGCUCGUAGGCGGCCAACUAAGUCAGACGUGAAAUCCCUCAGCUUAACUGGGGAACUGCGUCUGAUACUGGAUGGCUUGGAUUUGGGAGAGGGAUGCGGAAUUCCAGGUGUAGCGGUGAAAUGCGUAGAUAUCAGGAGGAACACCGAUGGCGAAGGCAGCUCGCUGGGACGGUACUGACGCUGAGGCGCGAAAGCGUGGGGAGCAAACAGG